rnacentral:rRNA from 1 species
AUUGAACGCUGGCGGCAGGCCUAACACAUGCAAGUCGAACGAGUGGCGGACGGGUGAGUAAUGUCUGGGAAACUGCCUGAUGGAGGGGGAUAACUACUGGAAACGGUAGCUAAUACCGCAUACCAUCGGAUGUGCCCAGAUGGGAUUGGCUAGUAGGUGGGGUAAAGGCUCACCUAGGCGACGAUCCCUAGCUGGUCUGUGAGGAGGACCAGACACAGUGGAACUGAGAAACGGUCGAGACUCCUAAGGGAGGCAGCAGUGGGGAAUAUUGACGAAUGGGCGCAAGCCUGAUGCAGCCAUGCCGCGUGUAUGAAGAAGGCGCGCGGGUUGUAAAGUACUUGCAGCGGGGAGGGGUUACCCGCAGAAGAAGCACCGGCUAACUCCGUGCCAGCAGCCGCGGUAAUAC